rnacentral:tRNA from 1 species
GCCAGUGUAGCAUAGUGAUUUGAGCAUUGGACUAUGACUCUAGACGCUAGGGUUUGAUUCCCAACUCAGCCA